GCUUUAAGCUUAUUCCCCUACUGCCACAGUAGAAUAAAUUAUUUACAGUUCCAUUGCCUAUUUAUCUGACAUUUUAAAAUAUCUAAUAAUAAAUGGCAAAACCCAUUUAACUAGCAAAUUAACCAAAACUACAAACCCAUUUUUUCUUUAAGUUUUUAACACCUGAGGCGUAACACGAACAACAUAAUUCCAGCAGAUUCUAAAAGAUAAAUCUGCUGGAAGUACCAUGUUCACAAUUAAAAAAUAACAGUAAAUCAAAGACCAUUAACACUGGAUCUAUGGUGUUAAAGGGUUAAAGUUGUGUAACAAAGUUAUUUUUGUAGAAAUAUGAAACAGACACUACAAGAAACGUAUUAUCAGAGCACAAUCGAGAUGAAAUAUUUUGCUGUCUUCAUAUUUAAUCCUGACCACUUUUUUCCUCCAUUUUUUUCCCCACAGGUGGUUGAAGUCUAAACGUUUAUCAGUAAAUCAGACUCAUGUGGGAAAAUGUCACCACCCCACACAGAGUUUGGGUGAAGAAAACGCUGCUCCAAAUCAAGACGUCCACUACGGAGAAAUUGACUUUUCCAAAAUGAAUCUUUCCCACUCACCGCAGAAGACAACAGACCAGCAUUGUGUUGUCUAUUCACAAAUAACCGUAGGCCAGAGUGGAAACACACGCACGAAUGAAGACAUAUACUCUUUGGUGAACAGAUGACUGGACUUGUGUACAAAUGUAAAGUUUUUUUAUUUACAUUUUACCUUAUUAAAUCUCAUUUAGCAAAUAUAUAAUCUGAAUGUGCCUUUCGGUGUGUUUUAUUUACAUUAUUUGACAUUCAUACAACUCAAAAGUAGAAGCCACUCUAUGAAAGUGUAGAUCCACCCAAGGAAAGUUUAUUUUAUUUAUCACAAUAAUAUUCAGAUAAACAUUUUACAAGUUUAAUUUUAGGUGUGGAAAUUUUUCCACCUUAAGGUUUUUUGAAGGGUAAAAAAAAAUGUCUUAAG
rnacentral:lncRNA from 1 species